UUAAGCGACUAAGCGUACACGGUGGAUGCCCUGGCAGUCAGAGGCGAUGAAGGACGUGCUAAUCUGCGAUAAGCGUCGGUAAGGUGAUAUGAACCGUUAUAACCGGCGAUUUCCGAAUGGGGAAACCCAGUGUGUUUCGACACACUAUCAUUAACUGAAUCCAUAGGUUAAUGAGGCGAACCGGGGGAACUGAAACAUCUAAGUACCCCGAGGAAAAGAAAUCAACCGAGAUUCCCCCAGUAGCGGCGAGCGAACGGGGAGGAGCCCAGAGUCUGAAUCAGUGUGUGUGUUAGUGGAAGCGUCUGGAAAGGCGCGCGAUACAGGGUGACAGCCCCGUACACAAAAAUGCACAUACUGUGAGCUCGAUGAGUAGGGCGGGACACGUGGUAUCCUGUCUGAAUAUGGGGGGACCAUCCUCCAAGGCUAAAUACUCCUGACUGACCGAUAGUGAACCAGUACCGUGAGGGAAAGGCGAAAAGAACCCCGGCGAGGGGAGUGAAAAAGAACCUGAAACCGUGUACGUACAAGCAGUGGGAGCCUCUUUUAUGGGGUGACUGCGUACCUUUUGUAUAAUGGGUCAGCGACUUAUAUUCUGUAGCAAGGUUAACCGAAUAGGGGAGCCGAAGGGAAACCGAGUCUUAACUGGGCGUUAAGUUGCAGGGUAUAGACCCGAAACCCGGUGAUCUAGCCAUGGGCAGGUUGAAGGUUGGGUAACACUAACUGGAGGACCGAACCGACUAAUGUUGAAAAAUUAGCGGAUGACUUGUGGCUGGGGGUGAAAGGCCAAUCAAACCGGGAGAUAGCUGGUUCUCCCCGAAAGCUAUUUAGGUAGCGCCUCGUGAAUUCAUCUCCGGGGGUAGAGCACUGUUUCGGCAAGGGGGUCAUCCCGACUUACCAACCCGAUGCAAACUGCGAAUACCGGAGAAUGUUAUCACGGGAGACACACGGCGGGUGCUAACGUCCGUCGUGAAGAGGGAAACAACCCAGACCGCCAGCUAAGGUCCCAAAGUCAUGGUUAAGUGGGAAACGAUGUGGGAAGGCCCAGACAGCCAGGAUGUUGGCUUAGAAGCAGCCAUCAUUUAAAGAAAGCGUAAUAGCUCACUGGUCGAGUCGGCCUGCGCGGAAGAUGUAACGGGGCUAAACCAUGCACCGAAGCUGCGGCAGCGACGCUUAUGCGUUGUUGGGUAGGGGAGCGUUCUGUAAGCCUGUGAAGGUGUGCUGUGAGGCAUGCUGGAGGUAUCAGAAGUGCGAAUGCUGACAUAAGUAACGAUAAAGCGGGUGAAAAGCCCGCUCGCCGGAAGACCAAGGGUUCCUGUCCAACGUUAAUCGGGGCAGGGUGAGUCGACCCCUAAGGCGAGGCCGAAAGGCGUAGUCGAUGGGAAACAGGUUAAUAUUCCUGUACUUGGUGUUACUGCGAAGGGGGGACGGAGAAGGCUAUGUUGGCCGGGCGACGGUUGUCCCGGUUUAAGCGUGUAGGCUGGUUUUCCAGGCAAAUCCGGAAAAUCAAGGCUGAGGCGUGAUGACGAGGCACUACGGUGCUGAAGCAACAAAUGCCCUGCUUCCAGGAAAAGCCUCUAAGCAUCAGGUAACAUCAAAUCGUACCCCAAACCGACACAGGUGGUCAGGUAGAGAAUACCAAGGCGCUUGAGAGAACUCGGGUGAAGGAACUAGGCAAAAUGGUGCCGUAACUUCGGGAGAAGGCACGCUGAUAUGUAGGUGAAGUCCCUUGCGGAUGGAGCUGAAAUCAGUCGAAGAUACCAGCUGGCUGCAACUGUUUAUUAAAAACACAGCACUGUGCAAACACGAAAGUGGACGUAUACGGUGUGACGCCUGCCCGGUGCCGGAAGGUUAAUUGAUGGGGUCAGCGCAAGCGAAGCUCUUGAUCGAAGCCCCGGUAAACGGCGGCCGUAACUAUAACGGUCCUAAGGUAGCGAAAUUCCUUGUCGGGUAAGUUCCGACCUGCACGAAUGGCGUAAUGAUGGCCAGGCUGUCUCCACCCGAGACUCAGUGAAAUUGAACUCGCUGUGAAGAUGCAGUGUACCCGCGGCAAGACGGAAAGACCCCGUGAACCUUUACUAUAGCUUGACACUGAACAUUGAGCCUUGAUGUGUAGGAUAGGUGGGAGGCUUAGAAGUGUGGACGCCAGUCUGCAUGGAGCCGACCUUGAAAUACCACCCUUUAAUGUUUGAUGUUCUAACGUUGACCCGUAAUCCGGGUUGCGGACAGUGUCUGGUGGGUAGUUUGACUGGGGCGGUCUCCUCCUAAAGAGUAACGGAGGAGCACGAAGGUUGGCUAAUCCUGGUCGGACAUCAGGAGGUUAGUGCAAUGGCAUAAGCCAGCUUGACUGCGAGCGUGACGGCGCGAGCAGGUGCGAAAGCAGGUCAUAGUGAUCCGGUGGUUCUGAAUGGAAGGGCCAUCGCUCAACGGAUAAAAGGUACUCCGGGGAUAACAGGCUGAUACCGCCCAAGAGUUCAUAUCGACGGCGGUGUUUGGCACCUCGAUGUCGGCUCAUCACAUCCUGGGGCUGAAGUAGGUCCCAAGGGUAUGGCUGUUCGCCAUUUAAAGUGGUACGCGAGCUGGGUUUAGAACGUCGUGAGACAGUUCGGUCCCUAUCUGCCGUGGGCGCUGGAGAACUGAGGGGGGCUGCUCCUAGUACGAGAGGACCGGAGUGGACGCAUCACUGGUGUUCGGGUUGUCAUGCCAAUGGCACUGCCCGGUAGCUAAAUGCGGAAGAGAUAAGUGCUGAAAGCAUCUAAGCACGAAACUUGCCCCGAGAUGAGUUCUCCCUGACUCCUUGAGAGUCCUGAAGGAACGUUGAAGACGACGACGUUGAUAGGCCGGGUGUGUAAGCGCAGCGAUGCGUUGAGCUAACCGGUACUAAUGAACCGUGAGGCUUAACCUU
rnacentral:rRNA from 1 species